CCUACGGGUGGCAGCAGUAGGGAAUCUUCCACAAUGGGCGAAAGCCUGAUGGAGCAACGCCGCGUGGGUGAAGAAGGUCUUCGGAUCGUAAAACCCUGUUGUUAGAGAAGAAAGUGCGUGAGAGUAACUGUUCACGUUUCGACGGUAUCUAACCAGAAAGCCACGGCUAACUACGUGCCAGCAGCCGCGGUAAUACGUAGGGGGCAAGCGUUAUCCGGAUUUAUUGGGCGUAAAGGGAACGCAGGCGGGCUUUUAAGGCUGAUGUGAAAGCCUUCGGGUUAACCCGAGUAGUGCAAUGGAGACUGGGAGACUUGAGUGCAGAAGAGGUGAGCGGAACUCGAUGAGUAGCGGUGAAAUGCGUAGAUAUAUGGAAGAACACCAGUAGCGAAGGCGGCUCACUGGUCUGUAACUGACGCUGAGGUUCGAAAGCGUGGGUAGCAAACAGGAUUAGAUACCCUAGUAGUC
rnacentral:rRNA from 1 species